GUCUUUUUACCUUUUAUUUUUCUUUGGCCAUUUGAUUCAACAUGAACGGGAUUGAUUUAUCCACCAGUAAUUAGUUAUAUCUAGUUACAUGAAUGGCUAGUAUAGCAAAUACUUUCAAUUUUAGAAUAAAAAUUAGAAGCAAUGGCAAUCACAAUAAAUAUUUUAAAGUUCAAGGGUUUUUUGAAAAAUAUUUUUCUUCUCCUCCUCAUCGAUACUUAGGUGGAGAUGAUGAACAACAAUGGUAGCACAUU
rnacentral:lncRNA from 1 species